rnacentral:rRNA from 1 species
CAGUCGCCACGGGAAUACGUAGGUGGCAAGCGUUGUCCGGAAUUAUUGGGCGUAAAGGGCUCGCAGGCGGUUUCUUAAGUCUGAUGUGAAAGCCCCCGGCUCAACCGGGGAGGGUCAUUGGAAACUGGGAAACUUGAGUGCAGAAGAGGAGAGCGGAAUUCCACGUGUAGCGGUGAAAUGCGUAGAGAUGUGGAGGAACACCAGUGGCGAAGGCGACUCUCUGGUCUGUAACUGACGCUGAGGAGCGAAAGCGUGGGGAGCGAACAGGAUUAGAUACCCCCGUAGUCCCUGUCUCUUAUAC